AUGCAAGCNCGUAGCGAAUCAUUAGGGAGCUUGCUCCUAAUGAAUUAGCGGCGGACGGGUGAGUAACACGCUGGGCAACCUGCCUAUAAGACUGGGAUAACUUCGGGAAACCGGAGCUAAUACCGGAUAAUCCUUUUCCUCUCAUGAGGAAAAGCUGAAGGAC
rnacentral:rRNA from 1 species